AAAUGAAUAGACGGGGACCCGCACAAGCGGUGGAGCAUGUGCUUUAAUUCGAUGCAACGCGUAGAACCUUACCCGGUCUUGACAUAGUUCUGCCUGUUCCAGAGAUGGGACUUUCAGCAAUGACAGGACAUACAGAUGCUGCAUGGUUGUCGUCAGCUCGUGUCGUGAGAUGUUGGGUUAAGUCCCGCAACGAGCGCAACCCUUGCCAAUAGUUGCCAGCGAGUAAUGUCGGGGACUCUAUUGGGACUGCCUUCGCAAGGAGGAGGAAGGUGGGGAUGACGUCAAAUCAUCAUGGCUCUUACGACCGGGGCUAGACACGUGCUACAAUGGCGAUUACAAUGGGCUGCUACUUGGCAACAAGAUGCUAAUCUCAAAAAAAUCGUCUCAGUUCGGAUUGAGGUCUGCAACUCGACCUCAUGAAGUUGGAAUCGCUAGUAAUCGCAGGUCAGCAUACUGCGGUGAAUACGUUCCCGGGUCUUGUACACACCGCCCGU
rnacentral:rRNA from 1 species